rnacentral:tRNA from 1 species
UGCCGGAUCGUCUAAUGGUAGGACAUGGGCCUUUGGAGCCUAGAAUCUUGGUUCGAUUCCAAGUCCGGCAA